UUUUCUACUAAAAAAUCUUGGUUGAAAUUGAAAUAUAAAAUAUUAGAAAUAAAAAAAAACGUACAGAAUUUAUAUGAAGUAUGAACCAUUCACUACAACAGAAUUAGGUUAUAGGGACACUUGUUUGGGACACUUUUGAGUAAGUGUCUCAUUUAUGCUAAAACUUAAAAAAACAUCUACUUAUGCCUAAAUAUAAAGCCCAAUCCAACCAAAAAUAAAAGAUUACUCUACUCAACCCACCACACCCAGUCCAUUUGGCCUUAUUACAAACAGAAAAGAAAAAAAAAAGAAUAAUCAAUUACCAUCUUUUCUUCUCUCUUNCCACCUACCACCACCUACCCCCAUCAUCUCAACCUCCCAUCUCUCCAUCCAAUGGCUAGAAACACACAAGUAUCACUUAGGUGAUACUUGUAAAAGUAUUCUAGCCAUACUCUAUAUAUAUAUAUAUAUAUAAGCAUAUUGAAAUUCCAACAAUGAUUUAUCAAAAAUUAAAAAGUAUAUAAAAAUAUUCAAUUUAUAUAAAAAAAUAUAAAUUUAUAUUGAUUUGAAAUAAAUUAUAAUAAUUAUUACGUAUAUUACAUGUACAUUACAUUCAACUAGUAUAUAUAAAAGCCUUUUUAAAAGUACCAUAGUUGGACUCUCUCUUUAUCUAUAUAUUAUAUAUAGCUAGACUAGAACAAUUAUUAAUAGCGUCGAGUUAUUGGUAUUAUUAAGUUUUCAACCUUUAAAUGAUAUAGUUAGAAUGGUAGUGAUCCUUUACGGUUUAGUAGAUGGUUGAUGAAAUAGUAUAAUUUAAGGAGUAAAAAUGAUUAAAAGAGUUGAUUUAACGGCGAAAAAUUUGAUAGCAUUAAAUGUUUAGUGCUGUUGAUAAUAUUGUUAUCGCACUCGCACACACACUCUCUCUCUCUCUCUCUCUCUCUCUCUCUAUAUAUAUAUAUAUAUAUAUAUAUAUAUAUAUAUAUAUUCAUUCAUGCAAUGAGCCACGGUAGUUUGGUGGACUUGAGUAUACUAGUAUUGUAUUAGAUCCAUUAUGUAAUAUCAAACGGGACUAUUGAUCCAAUUAAAAUAGUAGAUCAUUAAGGACAACGUCAACAACGAAAUUAAUGUAAAUGAUCAAAUGAGUAGCAGAAAGAGAUAAAAGAAGUACGUGCAAAAUGAGGACAUAGAGUUCUAGAACUGAAAUAGCCUGUCACUAAUAUAUUUCCAUCAGAUAAUUGAGAAACAACAUACUGUGAUGAUACUUUGUUACAUAGAAUGUAUUUUAAGUAUUUUGGCAGGUUGGUUAUGUGUAGUGAGUUGCUGAUGUCAGUAUAUUCGAUUUGAAAAUUUUCAAAAUAUACUAGCUAUAUUAGUGAUGUGACAUUUUCAAUCAAUCAAAUAAUUUUUUUUGAAUUAAUCUAUCACAUCAUAAUUAUAAAAAUAUUUAUUAUAUUUUUUUCAAACAAAAAAAUAUGAUUGAUUUAUUAGUGCUUAUACGGUACAAGUGUGAUAUAGUAAAUUUUCUCCUUCAGAUUGAUGCGUGUAAGAGAGAGAGAGAAUAUAAUCUUCGAAUGGAGUAUGGGCGAAGGAAGGCCUAGGUGGCCAAAUUCAGAUAAACCUAACCUCAUCAUCUUCGCCACAUGCACCCCUUUCAUAUAUGGUCGUACCCACCACAAGACAAAUAGCUCACGAGCUCACACACACACACUCUACACACGUCCCCUCUAACUUGCUAACUUGGCCUAGUUAAUUACUACUACACACUUCCGCUUAAACAUUAUUUUGCAUGAUAAUUAAUUAAUCUCUUUCCCCUUCGCCACAAAACGUGCAAGAGCAAGCUCGCACACACACAUAUAUACAUAUUCUCCUUCACUUGUGGGUCCAAAGUAACCACCCUCAUGCCAUAUAUAUAUAUAUAUAUAUAGAGAGAGAGAGAGAGAGAGAGAGAGAGAGAGAGUUGAUCUAGGAUAUUUUUACAAGUAUCAUCCUCAUGGUGCUAUCAUGUUUUUAGCCAUUGGAUCUAUUUUUUGAUUACAAAUAGCCCUUGGAUCAAACAUUAUUCCACCUACCACCACCUACCACCACCUACCACCAUCAUCUCAACCUCACAUCUCUCCAUCCAAGGGCUAAAAACACACAAGUAUCACUUGGGUGAUACUUGUAAAAGUAUUCUAGCCCUACUAUAUAUAUA
rnacentral:lncRNA from 1 species